rnacentral:rRNA from 1 species
CCUACGGGUGGCAGCAGUGGGGAAUAUUGGACAAUGGGGGGAACCCUGAUCCAGCCAUGCCGCGUGUGUGAAGAAGGCCCUCGGGUUGUAAAGCACUUUCAGUGAGGAAGAACGCCUGGUGGUUAAUACCCAUCAGGAAAGACAUCACUCACAGAAGAAGCACCGGCUAACUCCGUGCCAGCAGCCGCGGUAAUACGGAGGGUGCGAGCGUUAAUCGGAAUUACUGGGCGUAAAGCGCGCGUAGGUGGCUUGAUAAGCCGGUUGUGAAAGCCCCGGGCUCAACCUGGGAACGGCAUCCGGAACUGUCAAGCUAGAGUGCAGGCGAGGAAGGUAGAAUUCCAGGUGUAGCGGUGAAAUGCGUAGAGAUCGGGAGGAAUACCAGUGGCGAAGGCGGCCUUCUGGACUGACACUGACACUGAGGUGCGAAAGCGUGGGUAGCAAACAGGAUUAGAUACCCUUGUAGUC